AGCAGAGUGGCGCAGUGGAAGCGUGCUGGGCCCAUAACCCAAAGGUCCGUGGAUCGAAACCGCGCUCUGCUA
rnacentral:tRNA from 1 species